UACGGAGGGUGCAAGCGUUAUCCGGAUUCACUGGGGUUAAAGGGUGCGUAGGUGGGCAGGUAAGUCAGUGGUGAAAUCUUUGGGCUUAACCCGAAAACUGCCAUUGAUACUAUUAGUCUUGAAUAUUGUGGAGGUAAGCGGAAUAUGUCAUGUAGCGGUGAAAUGCUUAGAUAUGACAUAGAACACCGAUAGCGAAGGCAGCUUGCUACACAAUCAUUGACACUGAGGCACGAAAGCGUGGGGAUCAAACAGG
rnacentral:rRNA from 1 species